UACGUAGGGUGCGAGCGUUGUCCGGAAUUAUUGGGCGUAAAGAGCUCGUAGGCGGUCUGUCGCGUCUGCUGUGAAAACCCGAGGCUCAACCUCGGGCCUGCAGUGGGUACGGGCAGACUAGAGUGCGGUAGGGGAGAUUGGAAUUCCUGGUGUAGCGGUGGAAUGCGCAGAUAUCAGGAGGAACACCAAUGGCGAAGGCAGAUCUCUGGGCCGUAACUGACGCUGAGGAGCGAAAGCAUGGGGAGCGAACAGG
rnacentral:rRNA from 1 species